UGUGUGUAUGGGGAGGGGGGAAACAGAGAGAAAGGCCCAGAGCGUCUCUUUCAGCAAGAAUGUUGCCGAUGAGACUGGCCAUGGGUUACACGCUGUCAGCAUUUGCAAAGGAGCUGCCUGCCUGGAUUAUCUUCACUGGGAUCUUCCUGCCAGUGGUUUUGCUCCUAUUGUUGCUCAUUGCCUACUUCAGGAUCAAGCUGACAGAGGUUAACGAGGAAUUGGCCAUGGCCGAUGAUCCCACAAAUGCCAUCCUGAACUUCCACAUCCAGUACCAGAAACUGAGAUCUGAAAGAAAGAGAUUAAUCAAAAGGACAUAAUGACAUUUAAGGGAGGUUCGCCUCAGAAAACAGGUUCAACACGAGCAGUCAACUCAGGAGGUUUAAAAAUAACCUGCUGUAUUACAAAAGUCAUGGGGGAAACAAAAUGGUGGGAAGUUAGUGCAGAACAGUACAAAUGAAGCAGCUGCUGCUAUCUGAAAAGGCCUUGUAACAGUUUUGCUUUCUCUACAUGAUACUUAGUAAGCAACACUUUUCUGAACUCAUCAGCACCUGUGACUAAAUGCAACGUACUUUAUCGGUUGGCUUCGGAGACACAGCAUUUGGAAAAAAACCUCAUUGCUCACUAUUCCUUAGAUGCCUAUAUCAAGUAGAAAUAGCUAUAGGAGUGUCUUCACGUGACAGCUGAAGUCUGUGUAGGUCAAUGAAUCAGCAGCAGUCUUGUUGAAUCACAGGUGCACAAACAGCAGGCUAACACGAAUUAGGUUUUUUUUAAACCUACAUAUUGACAAAAGCAUGCUCUCUGAACUGAUGAGAAACUAUAGAAGAACUUGAAAAGUGAAAGACAAUAGUGAUGGAAGGAAAAAAAAGGAUUUCAUUUAUUUUUUCUGUUUCAUAUUUUACUAAACUCACCUCCAGUUCAUACUGUAUUAUAUUCUGUUUGAGACACAGAGCUGGUACACCUGCCACCAAACCAAAUACCAAACCAUGGAAAGAAGCAACAAAUAUCUUCUUAAAGGGUCUGAGUUAUUUUAGUUUGGAAGCACAAAGAAGAACUCUUACAAUACUUAAAUAAGGGGAUGAUUUUUUAAACUAACCGGUGUAAAUAUGUUGUGAAAUUCCCUUUCUCCAUCCUGUUUUUUCAUUAGUUGGAAACAUAUUUUAUGUUCAAUGUAAUUAUAAAUAUGGCUUCAUUGCCAUGUGUCUGAAACAGAUCACAUUACAAGAAUGUACCAGUGGCCAUUAUUAGAAGAAAGCACCUAAGAAGCCAAAUAGCAAUCAACUUUACCAUGCACAAAGUCUUCUCUGUAUUAGAAUUUAGUCUCAUUCCCAUUGCUUCAAAUUCAUGACAAAUGGCAUUGCUUUACAUUUCCACACACAGUUUACUGUACAUUGUACUGUAUUAUAACUGCAUAUGCAGAAGGGGGCUGAAUUAAGUCUGCAGGGCAACGUUCAUACUGGCAUUUCCUAACUUGUGCAUGUUUGACUUUGCAACCUUUAAUUCUUAACUUUGUAUUUCCUAAUACGGUUUCAUUUGAGAAUAACCAUAACUAACAUUAAAUAAAGGGGCUUUUUUUUGGUUUGAGAAUUUAAAUUGGGACUGAGCAAGAAUUAUAUGCAUGUAUUCAGAUCAAGCCACGAAAGUGGAAUAUUACGAGUGGCGACUACAUAUAUUGAUACAUUUUCUAAUGUCUUCUAGCCCUGAUAAAAGGAAAAAGGUUUAUCCAGCUUUCUUUCAGAACAGGCUAUUUACUUUUAUAGUCUCCGCAGAAUGUGGACUAGAUCCAUUGAAUGUCAAACAACCUUUGUGUAAUUGUAGAGAAUCCAAACUUCACGUUACUUUACAAACUCUACCAAUUUAAUAUGCAAUUUCUUCAUUCAGUCAAUAAAAUAAUUUCACUGGUCAACACAAAGAGUUAUGUUAAAGGGUUCUCAUAUUGUGUACAAUAUAAAUUGGCCCCCAGCUGCACAUCCCAUAAAUAUUCAUAAACUCAUUUCUGACAUUACCAUAUGGUUAAAUAAUGUAACUCCCUUAUGCUUGUUUAAUACACCUUCAAUAUUUUGCAUGAUGAUAUAAGUAGAGGCUGUGAAAAAAACCUGAAAUGUACAUCCCCCUCACCCCAGUAACCUCCAGUGGAUAGUGCAGAUUUUCAGUGAGAGGAGCCAGUAUUUCCAGAGGUCACGCUUAGUAUUAACAUGUAAUCAUUUAGGGCAGGACUAUUGGUUCAGUGGGAGCAGAGUUAGACCAAUGCUGAUAGAUACAAAGGGUAAGAUUUGCAAAAGCUAAGUGGGCUUUCAUUAGCUAUAGCUAGGCUUGGCAGAAUUAAUUAUCAAUAUUGUCCACCCUUAAAAAUCAAAUCGUCAACAUCGCAUGUCAAAACAUACAACGUAAAUACCUUUAAAAUCAAACUCUAGUAAAUUUUCAAGCAAAAUUUUUCUUGGCCUAGCUGUACAUUUGUCAGUUUCCAUGUGCACAUUGAAGUUGAUGUUUACUGAUAUUUACCAAUAAGAAUCUAAUCCUUCCAAGCCGAGAUCUAGCUGUUACCUUGAUGAACAAACUUAUAUCCUGUAUAAAAUUAGUGCUAAAGAAGUACACCCAUCCUUAUGAAUGCAGCAUGUUGAAAAGUCACGUCUGGCGUGUUUUGAUUAAGUCCAGACAGAGCAUCUUGAAAGGAUGAAGAAUCUAAGUUAGAAUGUGAGACAGAGGAGGCAGUGAUUGAGCUACAGAUUCCUCUGGCAACUGAAUGGGAUGGGAACUUGCCUUAGGGGACGUCUACAUUGCAAAUAGAUGCCUGCAGUUGGCCCUUUCCAUCCGACUCAGGCUCAUGGGGUUGGGUUAAGGGGCUGUUUAAUUGCUUGGGCUGGAGCUCUGAGACCAUGGGCAGAAGGUGAAGCUUCCCCUUGGGGAGUCUAGCCCCCUGCCUUGCCUCUUCUGGCAGAGGCACAGCCCCCCCAUGGCCCCAUCCAGGGCAAGGGGGGCAGAGAGCUCAGCCCUAGCCUGGGUCCAGCUCUUAGUCUCAUCCAGGAGCACAGCAGAGCGCAUUGCCCUGGCUGGAGCUCGGAGCCCCUCCCCUGUUCAGCCACUUUCACCUGUAGUCACACCCAUGGCCCCACCCCAUCCCACCCCCACUCCAUCUCUUCCUCCCAAAGCCCUGCCCCCUGCUUUUUCCUCCCCCCCUCCACUGCAGCCCCAAGACUGAAAAAGCUCUGGUGCCAUGGCAGGGAGCAAGUGCUCUUCCAGCCCUGGGGCUGUGGCAGUGGUGCUGGAACAGUUUUUGGAGUGGGGGUGCUACGAGUUCCACAUUUUGGGACAUUUUAUCAUGCAAACCUCACAAAUCUAGUGAAAAACCAUAGGUGCUUCAGAAAAGCACCUCUUCCAACUUGUUUGUACGUAAAAUCCCCGAAGACUUCCCUUAAAUGCAAACCUCUCCAUUUUGACCCAUUUUUCAGCUCACCUUGUUGCUUCUUGGCUGACAAGCCUUUCCAGUUUAUUAUGCUAAUUUCUCCUAUUCCAUCCUGGGCUGCAGUUAAUGAAAAGUCUUUUCUAUUAUUUAAUUGACAGAGUGCCUCCAUUAUCUUUGCAUGAAAGGAGAUGUUACAUAGGUUGCCAGUUUUCAGCAUAUUGUGACAAGUAAUUACAAAAACACCCAAGUGCUUUAUAUUGUUUGACAUUAAAAUAUAAGUUAACAUACCAGUUAUUGGUGACUUACAUUAUCCAGCUUGUAUUAAGUAAGGGCUGAUCCUGCCUCACUCUCCCACACCAUAUUCUCUGCCAACAAUGAGCCCAAAAAGCAGUGGAAAUGCUGUGGUCCCACUGGGACAGUAGUUGGCCAUGGAGUCCACAUGGGGAAUACUACAUCCUAGGUGCACUUCAGGGUAUUGUUUUGUUCCACCGCAUUGAGCGGAGGUUGUUGUUGGGGGGGGGGGGAAGACACCAUGGUGCAAGGAUAAGUGCCACACCCUUAUUCAUCAUAUCAAGGUCAAGCUUUUUGUCAUAUUCCAAGACCCUUCAAACCCUCCCCUCUCUACUUAUUUUGUUUUUUUAGUGUUGCCACAUUGUUGGAACUCUAGUAAUACAAAUAAUACUUAGCAGUGAUAUAAGAAUUUUCACGGACAACUUGUGGUGAAAACGUGAUGGAUGGGCUUCAAAAUUUUGGUAAGUCUUUUGCUGGUGUCAGGUAUCAGCAAUGCAAAUUUUAUCUAUAUCCAGUGGGUUUUGUUAGUGUGUGUACAGCAUAUGUUAGAUGUGCAAUAGUAACAAGAUGUGUUAAAGAUGAUAAAAUGUCCCCAAAAUGUGGAACUUGUAGCACCCCCAUUCCAAAAUUCAACAUAGCAUUAAAACUCUAUUCAAUUGUCUAGAGAGAAAAAUAAUUGCUUUAAGCAGUCCUAUGAUCCAUUUGUUACUUGUAGACCAUAAUGUAGACCAUACUCCAUGAAGUCAACAGGGCAAGGUGCUUCUUAACAUACGGAAUGGUAUAACAUGUGGCCCUUUGCCAGCAAUGGUAGAUUUCUUUACUGAACGAUGGAAAUUGGCAUUGCAACACUGAGGCCCAUUCAUUACUCUGUGUCAGCAACUCGUCAGGCCUGACAAACUCACUGCACCUAACUGUUGUCAUAAUCUGUAUCUGAAAGGUGUCAUGUAAGGUAUUGUAGGCAAACUGGUAACAUGUUGGGUCUCCAAAAAUCACUGUGUGGUGUGUGUACAGGGUAUGUACAAAGAGUAAUGGAUAUGUGCUAGAAUUAUGUUCUUAAAACGUUUGGCAAGCAAGCCAUAAGCCCAGUCUGACCUAGACAAAGGAAUGUGUAUUAGCUUGUCUGACCAGCCUGGUCAUCAGGCAGACACAAUUAAGGUACAUUUCCAUGCAAGGUUUGGGAAAAAACCCACCAUCAGGAGAGCAAGGAAGGAAAAAUGAACAUUUAAUCUACACAGGAGAUGGAGACUGCACCACAUGAAGUCUUCCUGCCUCUUGAAACAGGGUGAAUGAACUUUGGGAGAUAUAAGUAGAAACAGAAAGCCAUUUUGGUAUCUAUCACUUGAGAGAUUAAAAGGGCCAGUGUUCUUGAUAUCAUAGAAUGUGGGAUCCUUCAAAGAAGAGGGAUGAAGUCUCUAGGAACUGAGUUUAGAUGAGAAAACUGCUUAGGCAAGUAUUGUAACUUGAUAAAAUUAUGUGAUAAAUGUUUACUUUUGUUUUCGUGUAACCCUUUCUAUCUUUAUUCCUUAUACUUGGUAUCACUUAAUCCUAUGUCUUUUUGUUAAAUAAACUUGUUUUACUUUACUAUAAA